UGUCCAGGAAUGGGAAUCGAACCCACAGUGUUCCGCGUAUCGGGCAGAUGCAAUAUCCACUAGGCUACCCUGUAC
rnacentral:tRNA from 1 species